ensembl:lncRNA
CAGACUAUAAAAGUCUUUUAUAAUUACUAAGAUGACAAACCCCUUGAAAGGAAGUUUAUGAAGCACUGCUCCAGUCAGGUUCAGAUCCUUUUGGGAUCAUUUGAGUGAUAACUGUGUGGGUGUUACUCCCUGUAGAUUAUCAUUUUCUUUCUGCCUUCAUUUCCUUUAGCAGAAAUGAGAGGCUGCGUCGCUCACAGGGUGUUCUUGUGUGAUGUGUGGGUUUCCCUUGCUGAGAAGUCUCAGGAGGCACAGCCUGACCCCAGGUGGGAAGGCUCUGUUAUCAUCUGGAAUGAGAGGCCAGCCAAUGCCUAGGCAGGGGGCACCAGGGAACUCUUUUUAGCUGGUUGUAUGGAUGUGUCCUCAUGUCCAAAAGGGGUAGGACCUAUUGCUUUGCAUCCUUCAAAUCUCAGUGAAAAUGCUCCCUUCCUACUCUCCCUCCCCCAAGACUUCCUUCCCUAUUGUUCCCACUGAGCUUAGUACAUUAUCUACAGUAUAUUAAUUGUAUUUAAUUAUAAUACAGAUAGUUCAAUUACCAAGUAUGCAUUAUGUACCACACAGUUUAUACAUAUAUUCACUUAUCCUAUCAUUCAUUCAUGAGUUGAUACAUGAACAUCUUUUAAACCUAAGUCACUGUGCUAGGUAAAUCCUUGGGACAUCAAGACAGUAAAACAGCUGCUUUUAGGAAAUUUAGCAUUUAGUGGGUUUAGUGGUGGUGGUGGGGUUUCAAAUACCAUUUACUGAGUGGCUAUUGUGUUUUAGUUGCUGUGCAUUGUCUCUAAUUUCAUAACCAUCCUGUAAGAUAAGACCAGGGAAGCAGACACUCAGAGAGUAAACUCAUUUGACUGCUUUGAGGCCACAUGGUUAGGAAAUGAAACAGCUGAGAUUACAAUUUAAAUCUCAUUGGUUCACGACUAAUUUUUUUUUCCUUAAUUACAUUCCUGUUAUUCUCUGCUUGUUAGUAUCUUUGCAAAUGGCAGCUGUAGCUCUUUGCCCCCGUCAUUUCCUUUAGCAGAAAUGCUAAAGGAAGCAUUUUAUUGUUUUACUGUAAGAUCUAUGGGUUAGGGAGCUUAUCUCUUUAGCACUGGUUUCUGCCAGAGGGGUUAGGAUUUUGUAGGUGUUCCGUGAAGAUUUGUUGAAAAGAUGCUUGCACACAUGAAUGAAGUAGAAGGUUCUCCACACUGAGCUUCAGAUCCCAUUCUUCAAAGUGAUCUGGCCUCAGUCAGCCCAGCUCUCUUUCCUAGCUCCAGGCAUCUAUUACCUGUAUCAGUCAGGGUCCAGCCAGUAAUUGAAGUAGGAAGUAUCUUAACACAGGAAUUAGAGGCUUGCAUCUCCAUGAGAAAGUCUGGGAGCUUAGGCUUGGAGGGAAUGGCUGGUGCUCAAGAAAUCUGAAAGUGUAGGAAGCUGUGGCAACCUUGCAGUGAUUUUUUGAUAGGACACUGAGACGUCAAGUUACCGAGGCCACAGUAGCUUCUGGAGAGAAGAGGCUUCUCUUUGCUUUCCAAAUGAUAAGUGGGAAGCUUUCCUUGGAAGCAUCUAACCCAAAAUCUUAGAGGUGGAUAAUGCUGGGAAAUGUAGUUCCUAGGAGAGAGAGCAGAAGGAGGUGAGGAGGUUUCUGCGUUAACGGUCUGACUCUUGUUAAAUUCAUUUUCAUUUUCUCUUUGCUCCAUGAUAGUUUCUCACUGUAAGCCUCAGCACCUGACCUCACUCAGGCGACACUUCCAUAAGUCAGCUUGUGUCUCAUAGCCAACACUGGCUCUACCCCAACUUUCACCGGUAGCCAAAGGAGAUCCAGUUCUUACUAGAACAAGGAUAUUCUUCUUCUUCUUCUUUUUACCCAUUUCCAACAGAGACUAAAUUAUGAGGUCUAAAUCUGGGGCUUUCAAAUAGAGCCCUGACCAGUGCUGAAUCGACUUGAAGAAUGAUGAAGGGCUGGCUUCUCUCUCUCGGCAGCUGCGAGCUUGGUCAGCCCUUUGCAAAGUAAGAGGAAAUUUAAUGAACCCAAAUAAGACAUGAUCCUUUGUGGCUAUAAAAGUUACACUUUGAAAAAGCUCAGCUGGUCAAGAGCCACUUGAAAAUGAUGUUACUGCUGGGGAACUCUGUCAAAAGUCCUCUCCUCUGGGUGAGUUUCCUUCUCUUUGAGGGAAAACAAAGAGAGGUUUUACAAGCUAGAGAAGGGUCAUUUUGCUAUUUGAAAGAGCACAUUCAAAAAUUGAGGCCCAGUGUGAUUGGGAGACAUCCAUAGUCAGUACUUGUUUAUUUGUCCAGCUUUACACCAUGUAAGUGAUGCAGAAUCCUUUCCGCCUCUAAUAAUAACACCCCCGUGGCCCUGAGUUAAUGGAAAGCUGGAAUGGCCAAAUAAGAGCUGGUGCUCAGAUUAACCACUGUGGGUCAGACAAGUCCACAGCUGUGGUUGAGGAGGGAGGCGAUGGGGUGGAGGGGAGGAAGAGCAGAGGGAGCUCUUCCUAAAAUAUUUUUGCCUAGUCAACAGAUUUAAUGCACGGUAUUUUACCACCAAAUUCAUCAAAUGGAGGAUUUUCGAAAGGAUCAGAGGCA